rnacentral:tRNA from 1 species
GCGAAAGUGGCGAAAUUGGCAGACGCACCAGACUUAGGAUCUGGCGCCGUAAGGCGUGGGGGUUCGAGUCCCCCCUUUCGCA